UUGUUCGCAAUGGGCGCAAGCCUGACGACGCAACGCCGCGUGGAGGAGGAAGGGCUUCGGCUCGUAAACCCCUGUUGCCCGGGGCGAACAUCCCGUUUCGACGGGACUGACGGUACCGGGUGAGGAAGCACCGGCUAACUCCGUGCCAGCAGCCGCGGUAAUACGGAGGGUGCGAGCGUUGUCCGGAAUCACUGGGCGUAAAGGGCGCGUAGGCGGCCGAGCAAGGUCGCGGUGAAAGCCCGGGGCUCAACCCCGGGUCGGCCGUGGCAACUACUCGGCUCGAGCACUGUAGGGGCGGGUGGAAUUCCGGGUGUAGCGGUGGAAUGCGUAGAGAUCCGGAAGAACACCGGUGGCGAAGGCGGCCCGCUGGGCAGGAAGGCUCGCAAGAGCCGGCUGACGCUGAGGCGCGACAGCGUGGGGAGCAAAC
rnacentral:rRNA from 1 species